rnacentral:lncRNA from 1 species
GGGAGGAGUUAAAGCAAAAAUCAGCAGCUAAUGAGGGGCAAUCUGUAAACCACCAACCACCCCUUCCCCCAACCUUUACUCCUGUUCCAAGUGAAUUUCUGCUGCUAAGUUAUGGGUAGAAGCAAAAAACCACUUUGUGGAGGGAGAGGAAGGAAACCACGUCGCUCUAUGAUAAAAGCCUUGCACCUGGUAAAAAGCAACAGCCUGCUACCACUGCAGGUGGGGCAGGAAGCUUCCAGUUCCCAUUCCCAAGCAAAGAUAAUUUGCAGCUGAGAUUUGCAACAAGGACCCAGCACGGAUACAAAGCAGAGACAGGCUCUCACCACGGCGGGGGAGAGGACGCUCUCACAGGUCCAGAACCUCUCAACAGAUACAAGUCACCAAUGCUGCUCAUUGCAAUGUAUGGAGUGAAAGAGGCUGCCAUCGGUAUCCAGAAGAAGGUGUUACUUCGGUACCCAUACUCAUAAUCCAUAUGCUCCUGAAAUCAUGUGGAACAUGCAACUAGGACCUUCUGAACACGUAGCCUGAUUUACUUAUGAAGAAGCAAAUUCAACCAAGUGAUACGAAUUGUCUAAGGUCAUACAGUUAAUAACUUGUAAGAGCCCAGCACAGCACAGAUUUACAAAAUGAUACACAAAGACCUCAGAGUUUCCAGCCUGGUGUUCUGCCUUGUGGAUUUCAGAUUUGCCAAGCCCCACAAUUACAUAAUGAAAUUCCUUAAAGAAGCGAACUUUUGCUAUUGCACAGACCUGCUGCCUCCAGAGCGCCACGCCACUGAUUGUUUUCCUUGUUUCGUGGAAGGAAGACAAAACUUGUUCCAGCUCAACAAGGCUUCCUAUAUCUUUUGCCCCAUCAGUUUAAACACCUCAUUCAAAGUUGUUAUGGAAACACCAUAAUCCUCAAUGCCUUGGCUGGAAUGCAGUGGCUCAAUUUUGGUUCACUGCAACCUGCACCUCCCAGAUUCAAGUGAUCCUCCUGCUUCAGCCUCCCGAGUAGCUGGGAUUACAGUGGUACAUCCUGUAGUUGAGGGCUUCUUACACCUGAUGAAAUACCAUAGGUUCUGCAUGUCAGAUGGAGUCUCACUCUGUCACCCAGGCUGCAGUCCAGUAGCAUGAUCCCGGCUCACUACAACCUCUGCUUCCCGGGUUCAAGCAAUUCUCCUGCUUGUGAUUUCCUCCAUUUGGAUUAGAUAAGACUGUGCUGCAAUAGGACUUUUUUGGGCUUAGAAUGAGAAAAAAGGAGGGCAUUCUCAACAAGGAAGUCCAUUUCAGAGUGAAAACAUGAAACAGUAAAAUACUUCAGUAGUUGGGCAGAAGACAGAAGAAUAAUGUCUUAACUGGACUGCGGUAGGAUACAAUGAGUUUAUAUCUAGCAGAACCUUUCAUUUAGCAUAUUAUAGUUAUGAUAUCAUAACUAAAAUUAACUUUUCUGAGACAAGGUUCAGUUUCAUGUAGAAAUGAGCAAUUAAAAAAUAAAGAUAUAUUUAUUCC